rnacentral:lncRNA from 1 species
UAAUCCCCAACAUUUUAGCCUUUUUUAUUUUGGGUUGCGGCCUUUUACUUUCUAUUGAUUUUCUUUUUUGGCCAUUUUAUUUUUGUACUAGUCCCACAUGUCAUGCUGAUCUCAAAAUUGGUCCCACACAUCAGAAAUUUCAAAAUAUGUCAAACAACCAUUAUAACUUGAACCCCUUUUCCAAGUUACCAUUUCUGGGGUAUUCAAAUCACAUACACAAUCAUUAUUUUGAACAAUCCAAAGAGCAAACGGAAUUCGUCCAAAACAACACUACAUUAGUCUAUUACAAUCGUUACAUUAUACUACAACCCAAAUAAGCCUACUACUGCCUACAAUUACAACACAUAAUAUGCUACUCUUUGCUGAUAUGCUUCAGAGCUUCGGACUUGGAUUCGCACUUCACCUGUGAAAAAAAUAAGAAUAAACAUAUCAGAAUAAGAAACAGUGGUCAAUGAGUGAUCCAAUAACUUAGAAGCAAUAAUUGACAGGAAAUGAAAUGUACAUAAAUAGUAUGACUAACAUUAAUCAGUAUGUGUUUCUGGAGCAACUAAAAUGUUCUCAAACAACAACACAAUCAUACAGCAGAACUGUAGUUGAAAAAAAUCUGCAAAAACAAAUGCUGCUGUUGCUCCUCUGCAGUCUGAAUGUACAGGGCAAAUUCAAUCAAGUUCAUUGUUAAGCUACCACCAUUCGGGUUAAGGAGCAUUGUGCUCAAAUCUCAUCUCGAAAGCAUAAUUCCUCCUAGACAUCAAACAUUUCUGACAGUUUUAAGCUACCACCAUUCUCAAGAGUGAACAUUGAAGGAGGUGUUUAUGUUUAACAAACAAAACAGUAUAUACAACUAGCUAGGUUCAUUCAUUUGAACUUUUUUAUUAAAAUGGUAGUUGGACUGAGAGAUUAUUUUGAGAUUGUUACUUAUUAAAAUAACUAAGGAUUAAAUGUUAAUGCAUUGAUUGGUCCAGAAUGUUCUUUAACACCACCAAUCUUUUCUUCUAAAGUCUAAAAUUAACAACAAAAUCCUGUUACAGGAAUUGACAAAAUAUACGCAAACAUAAAGUAACUUCCCAUAGGAAGUCAGCACUCAUCUGUGUAAAUAUAUGCACAGGAAUCUAGCUCGCCUUGUGGAAAAAUUGGCCUCAAAUUUACCCGCAUGACCAUCUAUCAUAGUAACAUUCACAAUAAAAUCUGCUUUAGUCAAUUUACUCUUAAAAUUCAGUCAACAACUACUCUGCAUAUGUGCUGGAGAUCAAUAUCAACAGCUACUCUACUACUCUCCAUAUUUUCUAAGAUGUUUCCAGGAUAAGAAUAAACCUAUAAAGGACAUGAAACUUUACAGAAACUAAAACUGAAUUCGUGCAACUUCUAUACGCAAAUUAUGAAAGCCAUUGAUUUGAAUUGAACUGAUCACAUUAAACUGAACCCGCAACUGAAAUUCUACUACUACACUAGUGUGUGUGGCGGCACUUACGAGCACGGUACUGUGGGCUAUCCCCGGGCAACAUGGGCGACGGAGAUCCCGGGGCGGGCGCCGGAGAUGGGCCAAGAC